UGCAUCAGACAGACUUGGUGCUCACCCU
rnacentral:piRNA from 1 species